AGAGUUUGAUCCUGGCUCAGAGUGAACGCUGGCGGCAGGCCUAACACAUGCAAGUCGAGCGGCAGCGCGGGGGCAACCCUGGCGGCGAGCGGCGGACGGGUGAGGAAUGCAUCGGAAUCUACCCUGNUCGUGGGGGAUAACGUAGGGAAACUUACGCUAAUACCGCAUACGACCGAGAGGUGAAAGUGGGGGACCGCAAGGCCUCACGCGAUUGGAUGAGCCGAUGCCGGAUUAGCUAGUUGGAGGGGUAAAGGCCCACCAAGGCGACGAUCCGUAGCUGGUCUGAGAGGAUGAUCAGCCACAUUGGGACUGAGACACGGCCCAAACUCCUACGGGAGGCAGCAGUGGGGAAUAUUGGACAAUGGGCGCAAGCCUGAUCCAGCCAUGCCGCGUGUGUGAAGAAGGCCUUCGGGUUGUAAAGCACUUUUGUUCGGGAAGAAAUUGUACGACUUAAUACGUCGUGCGGAUGACGGUACCGAAAGAAUAAGCACCGGCUAACUUCGUGCCAGCAGCCGCGGUAAUACGAAGGGUGCAAGCGUUACUCGGAAUCACUGGGCGUAAAGCGUGCGUAGGCGGUUGGUUAAGUCUGCUGUGAAAGCCCUGGGCUCAACCUGGGAACUGCAGUGGAUACUGGCCAGCUUGAGUGUGAUAGAGGAUGGUGGAAUUCCCGGUGUAGCGGUGAAAUGCGUAGAGAUCGGGAGGAACACCANUGGCGAAGGCGGCCAU
rnacentral:rRNA from 1 species